AGGCUUAUAGCUCAGUGGAUAGAGCACCAGAUUCCGAUUCUGGGAGGGGAGGGUUCGAGUCCCUCUAAGCCUU
rnacentral:tRNA from 1 species